rnacentral:tRNA from 1 species
GGGCGCAUAGCUCAGUUGGUUAGAGCGCAUCGUUUACACCGAUGAGGUCAGGGGUUCGAGUCCCUUUGCGCCCA